AGCGAACGCUGGCGGCAGGCUUAACACAUGCAAGUCGAACGGGCACUUCGGUGCUAGUGGCAGACGGGUGAGUAACACGUGGGAACGUACCUUUCUGUUCGGAAUAAUCCAGGGAAACUUGGACUAAUACCGGAUACGCCCUUCGGGGGAAAGAUUCAUAGCCGAUAGAUCGGCCCGCGUCUGAUUAGCUAGUUGGUGAGGUAAUGGCUCACCAAGGCGACGAUCAGUAGCUGGUCUGAGAGGAUGAUCAGCCACAUUGGGACUGAGACACGGCCAAAACUCCUACGGGAGGCAGCAGUGGGGAAUAUUGGACAAGGGGCGCAAGCCUGAUCCAGCCAUGCCGCGUGAGUGAUGAAGGCCUUAGGGUUGUAAAGCUCUUUUGUCCGGGAAGAUAAUGACUGUACCGGAAGAAUAAGCCCCGGCUAACUUCGUG
rnacentral:rRNA from 1 species